rnacentral:lncRNA from 1 species
ACCCUGUACCUUUGCUCCUAAGCAUGAAGAUGGGCUUCUGACCAUGUCCUGCUAGAGGACACUGAAAGGGUAAGCCUUGGGCUUUAACCAGGCAAUGUUCUCAUCCAUAUGAGCAAGCGCUUCAUAUUACUGGCCGUGGCCCUGUGCUGAGUCCUCCUCCCGCCCAUGGCCCUCUCCUCCUGGCCUGUGGUCCUCCGCCUGAACAUGGCCGACUUUGUCUUCAGUUUCCUCUGCCUCGGCAUUGUUAACUGCAAGGCGGUGCACCCAAGUCCGAUGGUGUCCUACCUGGUGACCUCCUACCUGUGCUGGGACGCCAGCGACUUGAGGCUGCACUCCGCAGGGCGCAGCGAGGCGGACAUCCAAACAGCGGAACUCAGACACUGACUCCGAGCACACCCCGGGCCUUCCCAUUUCAUACACCCUCGAGGAUGAGACCCAAGCACCUCCAAGGAAUAGCACCCGAGGUCUUCAGGACACCGACCGGUAGCCAUGGCCAGAUGCCCGGCCAACCCCUUCAGCGUGGUCACGCCCCGGAUAUUCGACCUCCCCUGAGGCCCCACCCCCUGAUAUCAGGCCACGCCCUCCGAGGGGACCGGUGGCAAACUCCAACCCUCGCUCUAGGGCCCGCCCUUUGCGGCUUUAUCCCUGCCCACUGGGUCCUCACAGUACCUCCACCCCAGAAGUCCAGCAUCCCCUCCCGUUCUGCAGACACUUGUCCAGCGUCCCGCUGAGCUUGGCAGUGUGGCUAGUUUGUGUGGCCCUGCCCCUGGUGCCCAGCCUUCGCAGGCCACACCCUGAAGCCACUCUCCACCCCCUCAGCCAGGGUGGUCUGCAUGGAACUUCUUUCCCGGAGUUCCAGCCUCAGCUCCGAUGUCCACCCUUGUCCCCAGGUGGACACAGCACCGCCCAGCAUUUGGUGCAACUCCACCCUUCUGCGGAACGGGCCCCUCCCUGGGAAGGCAUGGCUUGCAAUAACAUCCCUCUGUACCUUUUCUGGCUUCCCCGCCACAAUAAAACCUCUCAGCCUCAGACC